ensembl:lncRNA LINC01880 long intergenic non-protein coding RNA 1880
AGACAUGGGACCAUCAUCUGGAUUCCUAGACGUGCAACUGCAAGCUUAGAAGAAAUAAAGGAAAUAUCCCAGGAGCAAAAACAAAACACACACAUGCUCCUCUCAAGAGUCACUGGCAUCCCAGCUGAAAAGUCAGCUCUACACCUAUGGGACCUAUGGGCCUGUUUCUGAGCUCUGUUUUGUCUCUUUGGUCUGAGUGUCUAUCUGAGGCCAAUACCACAGUACCAAAUGCGAUUGCUUUAGAGGAAGUCUUGAAAUCAGAUGAGGGAGCAUAACUUUCGCAUCUCAGUCCUUCUCCAUUUCCUGAGGCUUCUUCAGGCUCUGGUGUGUGGUCCACCCUGGAGAAUGUCUCGCUCUCCUCUCGAGAGGAACGUGGCUGCGGCUCUGCGUGGACCGUUUGGCAGAGGCUCAUAUGCUGGAUCCACUGGUUGGUUCACGGGGUUCAUUCCUGUCUGUUGAUCUUCUACCUAGUGGCUCCAUCACUCAUUCAAGCCACCCGAUGUCCCUUUUGAUUAUUGUUUACACGGUUCGUCUUUUUCCACCUUUCCCCGUUGGACUCUGACGCGUCUCUG